GAAGACGACCAUAGUGGCGGGGAAACACCUGUUCUCAUUCCGAACACAGAAGUUAAGCCUGUUGCGUCUGCGUGUUGUAGUCUCCGUCAAGAGGCAAAGCACGGAUGUUGUCUUCG
rnacentral:rRNA from 1 species